GACAGAGGGGGCAAGCGUUGCUCGGAAUUACUGGGCGUAAAGGGCGCGUAGGCGGGAUGGCAAGUCGGUCGUGAAAUCCCUCGGCUCAACCGAGGAACGUCGAUCGAUACUGCUGUUCUUGAGGAUUGCAGAGGAGACUGGAAUUCCCGGUGUAGCGGUGAAAUGCGCAGAUAUCAGGAGGAACACCGGUGGCGAAGGCGGUUCUCUGGGCCUGUACUGACGCUGAGGAGCGAAAGCGUGGGGAGCGAACAGG
rnacentral:rRNA from 1 species